rnacentral:rRNA from 1 species
AUGUUGUCUGCGGAAUCGUCUGCGCAGGGAAGGAAAGAGUUCGAGGCGGAGAUGAAGAUCAUAAGCCGAUUGAGGCACCGGAACCUUACGCACUUGCUAGGCUGGUCCGACAGCCACGAAGGGUUCUUGCUCGUCUAUGAGCUCGUAACGGAAGGCAGCCUGGACCGGCACAUAUACAACAUGAGUUGCCUGCUUACUUGGGCAGAGAGAUACAAGAUCAUCCUUGGACUGGGAUCUGCACGGCGCUAUCUCCACACAGAGUGGGAUGAGUGUGUGCUUCAUGGCGACAUCAAGCCCAGCAACAUACUCCUCGACUCAUCACGCAACACCAAGUUGGCGGAUUUCGGGCUGGCG